rnacentral:rRNA from 3 species
GAAUGCUGACAUAAGUAACGAUAAAGCGGGUGAAAAGCCCGCUCGCCGGAAGACCAAGGGUUCCUGUCCAACGUUAAUCGGGGCAGGGUGAGUCGACCCCUAAGGCGAGGCCGAAAGGCGUAGUCGAUGGGAAACGGGUUAAUAUUCCCGUACUUGGUGUUACUGCGAAGGGGGGACGGAGAAGGCUAUGUUGGCCGGGCGACGGUUGUCCCGGUUUAAGCGUGUAGGUGUGUGUUCCAGGUAAAUCCGGUUCACUUUAACACUGAGGCGUGACGACGAGGCACUACGGUGCUGAAGCAACAAAUGCCCUGCUUCCAGGAAAAGCCUCUAAGCAUCAGGUAACAUCAAAUCGUACCCCAAACCGACACAGGUGGUCAGGUAGAGAAUACCAAGGCGCUUGAGAGAACUCGGGUGAAGGAACUAGGCAAAAUGGUGCCGUAACUUCGGGAGAAGGCACGCUGACACGUAGGUGAAGUGAUUUACUCAUGGAGCUGAAGUCAGUCGAAGAUACCAGCUGGCUGCAACUGUUUAUUAAAAACACAGCACUGUGCAAACACGAAAGUGGACGUAUACGGUGUGACGCCUGCCCGGUGCCGGAAGGUUAAUUGAUGGGGUCAGCGCAAGCGAAGCUCCUGAUCGAAGCCCCGGUAAACGGCGGCCGUAACUAUAACGGUCCUAAGGUAGCGAAAUUCCUUGUCGGGUAAGUUCCGACCUGCACGAAUGGCGUAAUGAUGGCCAGGCUGUCUCCACCCGAGACUCAGUGAAAUUGAACUCGCUGUGAAGAUGCAGUGUACCCGCGGCAAGACGGAAAGACCCCGUGAACCUUUACUAUAGCUUGACACUGAACAUUGAGCCUUGAUGUGUAGGAUAGGUGGGAGGCUUUGAAGCGUGGACGCCAGUCUGCGUGGAGCCGACCUUGAAAUACCACCCUUUAAUGUUUGAUGUUCUAACGUGGACCCGUAAUCCGGGUUGCGGACAGUGUCUGGUGGGUAGUUUGACUGGGGCGGUCUCCUCCUAAAGAGUAACGGAGGAGCACGAAGGUUGGCUAAUCCUGGUCGGACAUCAGGAGGUUAGUGCAAUGGCAUAAGCCAGCUUGACUGCGAGCGUGACGGCGCGAGCAGGUGCGAAAGCAGGUCAUAGUGAUCCGGUGGUUCUGAAUGGAAGGGCCAUCGCUCAACGGAUAAAAGGUACUCCGGGGAUAACAGGCUGAUACCGCCCAAGAGUUCAUAUCGACGGCGGUGUUUGGCACCUCGAUGUCGGCUCAUCACAUCCUGGGGCUGAAGUAGGUCCCAAGGGUAUGGCUGUUCGCCAUUUAAAGUGGUACGCGAGCUGGGUUUAGAACGUCGUGAGACAGUUCGGUCCCUAUCUGCCGUGGGCGCUGGAGAACUGAGGGGGGCUGCUCCUAGUACGAGAGGACCGGAGUGGACGCAUCACUGGUGUUCGGGUUGUCAUGCC